GGGUGAUAACGCGGAGAAUCUGGGUUCAGGUUGGGGGCAACCCCUGGAAACGGUGGGUAAUACCGGAUAUGCCGAGAGGGAAAGGCUAGCUGCCUGAAGAUGAGCUUGCGUUUGAUUAGCUAGUUGGGAGUGUAAGAGACUACCAAGGCGACGAUCCGUAGCUGGUUUGAGAGGAUGAUCAGCCACAAUGGGAAUGAGACACGGCCCCGAUCCUACGGGAGGCAGCCGUGGGGAAUUUUCCGCAAUGGGGGAAAGCCUGACGGAGCAAUACCGCGUGAGGGAGGAAGGCUUUUGGGUUGUAAACCUUUUUUUUCAAGGAAGAAAAAAAUGACGGUACUUGAGGAAUAAGCAUCGGCUAACUCCGUGCCAGCAGCCGCGGUAAUACGGAGGAUGCAAGCGUUAUCCGGAAUGAUUGGGCGUAAAGCGUCCGCAGGUGGCUGUGAAAGUCUGCUGUUAAAGAAUGAGGCUCAACCUCAUACAAGCAGUGGAAACUACACGGCUAGAGUGCGUUCGGGGUAGAGGGAAUUCCUGGUGUAGCGGUGAAAUGCGUAGAUAUCAGGAAGAACACCGGGGCGAAGGCGCUCUACUAGGCCGCAACUGACACU
rnacentral:rRNA from 1 species